GUUGACGUGUUGUUGUGGAGGAACCAAAAGAUAUCAGCUAGUGUUUUAACUGCUGCAACUUUUGUUUGGGUGCUCUUUAAAUGGCUCAAUUAUCAUUUCUUGACUCUUGUGGGUUUUGCUUUGGUUCUAGGCUCCAAACAAGGACAGCAGCUGCAGUGUCAGAAAAUGCCAUAGUUCUAAGUUUUAAAUCGAGGGGCCUUGGAUUACAAGUUGUGAAAUAUUUGGCUGCCAAAUAUGAAGAGCUAGGGUGUGAAGUGAAAUGGAUGGGCAAGCCUGAUAAGGUGAUCUAGUCACAUUGGUCUGGUUACCGCUGUUAACUUCACUUCAUGUGAACCUUUAGCCUAAUACAUAUUUCUCUCGCACUUGACUACCAAGAUGAAUUUUGAGCAAGGCUACUUUUUGCUUUGAAGCAAAGUUUGGUGUAGAAAUUUUGUAGAUUGUUGCUCAUAUGUUUCUAGGCUAUCCUUUGUAGGUUUUGGGGUUUUCUUUUGUGACAUAUGUUCAAUCAUGAAUUUGGAAAGAAAAUUAA